UGGGCAACUUUGAAGUCAGGCUUAGUCAUGUGGAUAAAUUCGGGCCCUGGGAGUGGAGGUGACUCAUGCCAUUCCAGGGCUCCUGCGGUAUGGGUGUGGUGGUGAGCAAUCUUGGACCAUUUAGGCAAAGUUGCCACCCUAGGACGAUGGAAUAACAAAAUGCAAGGAGCCUGGAUCUCGGAGAACUUUGCAGAGAAGGGCUGCCGUGGCAGACUCUCAGGAGAGAAAACAGAUGCUCUUGUUUAACUGUGAUUUGCGGUCUCCUCGCUGCAGUGGUUCAGCUGACACCCAAACAAAUGCACUGAACCCACUAAGGGUCUUUCCCAGGAAUUUGGAAUGGAUACCCUGGGAAUUAGCUGUCAGGGGGUCCAAAGGUCAUGGCCACAGUCGGAGCCAUGGCCAGCCUAAACAGAGACGCUGGAUAAGCAGAGGAAGCCAGAGAGAGGAGCAUGAAGAGAGAUGCAGUGAGAAAAGAGCAGAGAAGAAAGAAGGUAGGGAGGGGGCUGCUGCCCCUCUCAAUGGCACCCCAGUCCCCGCACCCCAGUCCCAGGCACAGUUCCUGCAGAGCUCCGGGUGUAUCCUGCUGUUCGAUGUCAUAAAAUUGUCCUGUGUCCUUUCACUACUAUGACUGAGUUUCUCUUCUUUGCAACCAGCAGGGCACGCACGCCGGCUCCUCCCUUACCACCAGCCUGUCGCAUCCGGCUCUAGGCACGGUGAUGGUGUGAUGCUGGCCCAGAGUGGCCUCUCCCUCCCAACACACUGCUCCAGGCUCUGGGAACCCAGCGGCGGACAAGACAUGUUAACAUUUAUCCUCAAGGGCAGUUACCACUGAUGAGGUGCCGCACGUGGGCGGGACUCUUCCGAGGCUCUUCUCUCCGUCUGUGCGGGUCAUGGUCUGCCGUGCUGGAGGCUGAGGGUUAGAAUCGAUAAGAUCGGUCCCUGCCCUCCUGGAACUUGAAGAGUCAGAGUGAAGGAUACAGGCAGAGAUAGAGGCAAGUUCAUGCUCUAAAGUGUUCUGCUGCAGGACCAGCUGGCUGGGAACCGCUCCCGGGCCUUUGUCUGAGGCGCUUCUCCUCUCUUGUCACGGCUGCGGGGCUGGGGGCAGUGACGAACACCGGCCUGAGGGGGCUACUUCCUGCCCCUCACUCCAAGUCUCUGGUCUCAGGCCUGGGAGGCCCAGGUCACCCAACCAUGCAGAGCGGGGAAGCAGCCCAGGUGUGGAGGAUCGGGUGUCUACUAGGUGCAGAAAGCAGUAGCCGUGCAAAGCAACAAACCAGCCAAUGAUGCUAUAGAAACUUCCGGAUUCCUCCCGGGCCCAGCAGGAGCUCCUCUCUGGUGGUGACGUGGGAUGUGUGGCCCCCAGCCCCGGCUGCGGCGCAGUACCAGACUCAGCAACUGCCUGCCAGCCUGCCCGCCCCAGCCCUCGCCUGCCCCCCAGAUCUGCCAGCUCCUGCCCGCUCUGUCACCAGAGGCCCAGCCACACGCGGCACGGAGACAGGGAAAGGUGAGGCUGUGCAGCGCAGCGUUUAGCUCACAGGCUCUGAGGCCGACUGUGCUGCAUCUGGAUCUUGGCUCUGUAUCCUAAGUAACUUUGCAACUCUGGGCAACUGCCUGACCACCCUCGCGCCCCAGGGUCCUCUUCUGUAAAACAGAGUGACCCAGAGUGCCUGCCUCAUUGUGAGGCGGGGACGAGGCCAGCGACUGCGCGUGGAGCCCCUGGCCCUGGGCCUCCCUGGUACACAGACUGUGCUCCCUGCCGCUGAGCUGCAGACAUCCCACCCCAGGUGUGGGUCACCUGGUCCCAGCCUUGCCCAGUGCGGGACAUCCCAUGCCAGCAUGGCAUCAUUUGGCUUUGGCGCCAACGUCCCCUGAGACGGAGGCUCACUCCUGUUCUCCUGAGGGCUGUUCCCAGCACACACACGAUAACCCCGUUAAAGGACCCUUAGAAGGGAGCUCAGAGCUUUUCCAGGAGCUGGCCUCUGUGCCCGGCUCUCAUCCGGAGAAAGGACUUCCUUGGGCGGCCCCUCGGCUCCCUGCAAGUCGACUCGAGUCUGGUGUCUGGGGUCCUGCAGCCCGCAGCUCCCCUUCUCUCUGAGAGCCCAGGAAAAAUUGCAGGAUGUGCUCCCUUCUUGCGCCUUCUCAACCCAAGCUGCUUAGACCGAGCACCUUGCUCUUGGCCCAGAACAAGGUGGGGCACCAGGGUGACUCCGAGCCACUGACACAGGCCUCUUUGAGCUUUUCUCCUCCAGCGCCUGACUGGGUCCGUAGAGUCCUCCUGGGAAGCGUGACGAGCAGCCUGAGGUUGGCUGAGGAUGGCGGCCACUGCUCAGUGCGCCAGGCAACAGGCUGCGGGCUCUAAAUACACGGGCUCGAAGGGAGGUGACUGGCUCAAGAGACGAAUCCUUCUAGAAUCUGCCUGUCUCCAUAUCUGUGUUGUAAGCACGAUUUGGGGCAUAGCUAUUGGUCAGCAAGGCUGCUGAUGCGGAGGUUAGAAGUUCGAAAAUCGCCCAUUCGAGUGCCAUCCGUAUUCUGUCUGGAGAAUUCCAGGAGCAGCCUGGGAACGAUGGAGACCUGCUUCCAGCUCCCUCUCUGUCUUCAGCUUCCCCUCUCUGGUCCUCAGUCUCUGCAAAAUAAAGAGAGCACAGGCUCCGGACGCGCAGGCUCAGCGGCCAUGGCUCACGGGCCCAGCCGCUCCGUGACAUGUGGGAUCCUCCCAGACCGGGGCACGAACCCGUGUCCCCUGCAUCGGCAGGCGGACUCUCAAUCACUGCGCCACCAGGGAAGCCCGCUGCUAAAUCUUAAUCUGGAAAGGUCUCCCAGUCCUACCGAGAAGAUUUACCAGCGUUCUCCCAGGACCCCAGCCAGCGGUCCACACUACCUGGAGAACGGCUACCGUGGGGCCCAUCGCAAAUGAGUGGGGAGGGGUUGUCCAAACCAGGCCAUUAUUUCUUGAAUUUAUCACCUCCUUUACCUGUGUCACUGUCACCAGGAGAAAUGUGUUUUAAUGUCCUGGAUCAUUAAAACCCAAUAAUCGCUUUGAAAUGGCUUAACUGCUUCCUGCAUGGAGAUAAAGUAAA